rnacentral:rRNA from 1 species
AUUGAACGCUGGCGGCAGGCCUAACACAUGCAAGUCGAGCGAGCGGCGGACGGGUGAGUAAUGCCUGGGAAACUGCCUGAUGGAGGGGGAUAACUACUGGAAACGGUAGCUAAUACCGCAUACCAUCAGACGUGCCCAGAUGGGAUUAGCUAGGAGGUGGGGUAACGGCUCACCUAGGCGACGAACCCUAGCUGGUCUGAGAGGAUGACCAGCCACACUGGAACUGAGACACGGUCCAGACUCCUACGGGAGGCGGCGGUGGGGAAUAUUGCACAAUGGGCGCAAGCCUGAUGUAGCCAUGCCGCGUGUGUGAAGAGGGCCUUCGGGUUGUAAAGCACUUUCAGCGGGGAGGCGUUACCCGCAGAAGAAGCACCGGCUAACUCCGUGCCAGCAGCCGCGGUAAUUC